UACGGUUUAUUUUAAUAAGAAUUUUUAUUUUUGGUGUAAAGGGUAGUGUCGUAA
rnacentral:tRNA from 1 species